rnacentral:rRNA from 1 species
CUUGUUAGUUUCUGAAGUAUGGCCUGCCCGCUGACGUAUUUUGAGUUGAAGGGCCGCGGUAUAUUGACCGUGCAAAGGUAGCAUAGUCAUUAGUUCUUUAAUUGUGAUCUGGUAUGAAUGGCUUGACGAGACAUGGGCUGUCUUGGGUGUAGAAUUUGUUGUUGAAUUUUGAGUUUAAGUUAAAAUUCUUAGAUGUUUUUAUGGGACGAGAAGACCCUAUAGAGUUUAACAUUUUAUUGCGUAUUUCUUGU